rnacentral:rRNA from 1 species
UCUGGUUGAUCCCGCCGGAGGUUACUGCUAUCGAGGUUCGACUAAGCCAUGCGAGUCGAAUGUAGCAAUACAUGGCGUACUGCUCAGUAACACGUGGACAACCUACCCUGAGGUCGGGGAUAAACCCGGGAAACUGGGUAUAAUACCCGAUAGAUCUAGAUUGCUGGAAUGCUUUUAGGUCUAAAGUUCCGACGCCUCAGGAUGGGUCUGCGGCCUAUCAGGGUAGUAGUGGGUGUAAAGUACCUACUAGCCUACGACGGGUACGGGUUGUGAGAGCAAGAGCCCGGAGAUGGAUUCUGAGACACGAAUCCAGGCCCUACGGGGUGCAGCAGGCGCGAAACCUUUACAAUGCUGGCAACAGCGAUAAGGGGACCUCGAGUGCUACGAUACAAUCGUGGCUGUCUAGUUGCCUAAAAAGCAAUUGAUAGCAAGGGCCGGGCAAGACCGGUGCCAGCCGCCGCGGUAACACCGGCGGCUCGAGUGGUAACCGCUAUUAUUGGGUCUAAAGGGUCUGUAGCCGGCUUAGUUAGUCUCUUGAGAAAUCUGGCCGCUCAACGGUCAGGCGUUCAGGGGAUACUGCUAAAGCUCGAGACCGGGAGAGGUGAGAGGUACUUCAGGGGUAGGGGUGAAAUCUUGUAAUCCUUGAAGGACCACCAGUGGCGAAGGCGUCUCACCAGAACGGAUCUGACGGCAAGGGACGAAAGCUAGGGGCACGAACCGGAUUAGAUACCCGGGUAGUCCUAGCCGUAAACGAUACUCGCUAGGUGUCGGCCACGGUGCGACCGUGGUCGGUGCCGUAGGGAAGCCGUGAAGCGAGCCACCUGGGAAGUACGGCCGCAAGGCUGAAACUUAAAGGAAUUGGCGGGGGAGCACUACAACGGGUGGAGCUUGCGGUUUAAUUGGAUUCAACGCCGGAAAUCUUACCGGGGCCGACAGCGAUAUGAAGGCCAGGCUAAGGACCUUGCCUGAUUAGCUGAGAGGUGGUGCAUGGCCGUCGUCAGUUCGUACUGUGAAGCAUCCUGUUAAGUCAGGCAACGAGCGAGACCCA